rnacentral:rRNA from 1 species
UAGGGAAUCUUCGGCAAUGGGGGGAACCCUGACCGAGCAACGCCGCGUGAGUGAAGAAGGUUUUCGGAUCGUAAAGCUCUGUUGUUAAGGAAGAACGAGUGUGAGAAUGGAAAGUUCAUGCUGUGACGGUACUUAACCAGAAAGGGACGGCUAACUACGUGCCAGCAGCCGCGGUAAUACGUAGGUCCCGAGCGUUGUCCGGAUUUAUUGGGCGUAAAGCGAGCGCAGGCGGUUAGAAAAGUCUGAAGUGAAAGGCAGUGGCUCAACCAUUGUAGGCUUUGGAAACUGUUUAACUUGAGUGCAGAAGGGGAGAGUGGAAUUCCAUGUGUAGCGGUGAAAUGCGUAGAUAUAUGGAGGAACACCGGUGGCGAAAGCGGCUCUCUGGUCUCUAACUGACGCUGAGGCUCGAAAGCGUGGGGAGCGAACAGG